GUGUCACUAAGGUAAUGGUGAAGCUGCAAUCAACACGAAGAUGAAUCGGGUGCAGUACUGCCCUCUAAUUUAGACCAUGGUGUUCUUCACCAGGAGGAUGAGCCAUCUCUCCUGUGUGAUUUGGAUCGGAUCGAUGAUUUAAAUGCGAAAUUUCAGUGCGAGCCGUUUAUUGAUCCACAGUUUGUGGCGGAUGGGAACUCCGAUCCCGAAAUUCACGCCAAAGAGCUGGCUGCUGUGACUGAGCUGUGGUCCAGGAACG